AUUGAACGCUGGCGGCAGGCCUAACACAUGCAAGUCGAGCGAGCGGCGGACGGGUGAGUAAUGUAUGGGGACUGCCCGAUAGAGGGGGAUAACUACUGGAAACGGUGGCUAAUACCGCAUACUAUCGGAUAACCACAAGGGGAUUAGCUAGUAGGGGGGGUAAAGGCUAACUAAGGCGAAGAUCUCUAGCUGGGCUGAGAGGAUGAUCAGCCACACGAGGACUGAGACACGGCCCAACCUACUACGGAGGCAGCAGUGGGGAAUAUUGCACAAUGGGCGCAAGCCUGAUGCAGCCAUGCCGCGUGUAUGAAGAAGGCCUUAGGGUUGUAAAGUACUUUCAGCGGGGAGGCGUUACCCGCAGAAGAAGCACCGGCUAACUCCGUGCCAGCAGCCGCGGUAAUUC
rnacentral:rRNA from 1 species